rnacentral:rRNA from 1 species
GUCGAGCGCGGGAAGCCGGCGGACUCCUUCGGGAGGAAACCGGUGGACCGAGCGGCGGACGGGUGAGUAACACGUGGGCAACCUGCCGGACUGAUGGGAAUAACCCCGGGAAACCGGGGCUAAUGCCCAAUACGCCCUGACCUCGCCUGAGGUCAGCGGUAAAGCAGGGAUCUUCGGAUCCUUGCACAGUCCGAUGGGCCCGCGGCGCAUUAGCUAGUUGGAGAGGUAAGGGCUCCCCAAGGCGACGAUGCGUAGCCGACCUGAGAGGGUGAUCGGCCACACUGGGACUGAGACACGGCCCAGACUCCUACGGGAGGCAGCAGUAGGGAAUCAUCCGCAAUGGGCGAAAGCCUGACGGUGCAACGCCGCGUGAGUGAUGAAGGUUUUCGGAUCGUAAAGCUCUGUUGACAGGGAAGAACCCACGCCAGUCGAACAGGCUGGCGUGCUGACGGUACCUGUCCAGAAAGCCCCGGCUAACUACGUGCCAGCAGCCGCGGUAAUACGUAGGGGGCAAGCGUUGUCCGGAAUUAUUGGGCGUAAAGGGCACGCAGGCGGUUUCGUCAGUCCGAUGUGACAGGCCACGGCUCAACCGUGGAAGGCCAUUGGAAACUGCGAAACUUGAGGACAGAAGAGGAGAGUGGAAUUCCACGUGUAGCGGUGAAAUGCGUAGAUAUGUGGAGGAACACCAGUGGCGAAGGCGACUCUCUGGUCUGUACCUGACGCUGAGGUGCGAAAGCAUGGGGAGCAAACAGGAUUAGAUACCCUGGUAGUCCAUGCCGUAAACGCUGAGUGCUAGGUGUUAGGGGUUUCGAUACCCGUAGUGCCGAAGCUAACGCAUUAAGCACUCCGCCUGGGGAGUACGACCGCAAGGUUGAAACUCAAAGGAAUUGACGGGGGCCCGCACAAGCGGUGGAGCAUGUGGUUUAAUUCGACGCAACGCGAAGAACCUUACCAGAUCUUGACAUCUUCCGCUACGCCUCGAGAGAGGCGGUCCC